UGGGUACCUGACUGCCUUUGGGUAGUUGUG
rnacentral:piRNA from 1 species